GACGAACGCUGGCGGCGUGCCUGACACAUGCAAGUCGGACGGUUCUUGUACCUUCAAGCUUGCUUGUUGGUGCAAGGAUAGUGGCGGACGGGUGAGUAACGCGUGAACAUCUACCCAUUGGAGGGGGACAACCCGUCGAAAGGCGGGCUAAUACCGCGUAAGCCGCGAGGUGAGAGGCUGCCUAUUGGUGGCCGCCGAUGGAUGGGUUCGCGUCCUAUCAGCUGGUUGGUGGGGUAACGGCCUACCAAGGCGAAGACGGGUAGCCGGUCUGAGAGGAUGGCCGGCCACACUGGAACUGAGACACGGUCCAGACUCCUACGGGAGGCAGCAGUGGGGGAAUAUUGGGCAAUGGGGGAAACCCUGACGCAGCAACGCCGCGUGAGUGAGGAAGGCCCUCGGGUCGUAAAGCUCUGUCAGGUGGGAAGAAAUCGAUGAAGGUGAACAACCUCCAAUCCUUGACGGUACCACCAGAGGAAGCACCGGCUAAACUCCGUGCCAGCAGCCGCGGUAAAACGUCUA
rnacentral:rRNA from 1 species